UCCAGCAGUCCAAAAUAUUAGUCAAUGCUCGAAAGAGUGAACUAGCUAACUGAAAUCAAUUAAAAUAAUUGAUAACAUAAGGGAAAAUAAUGGAUGAUUACGCUUAUUAUUGAGUGUCGUCCAAAUCUGGUGCCAGAAGACUCGGUAAGGCCAGAGACACAAACGUUAAUCGUCUUAAUCAGGCGUAAAGGGUUUGUAGGCGGCUUUAAAAUUUACUUAUAAAAAAAUAAAAUAAUAAGUARAGAAUAAAAGCUAGAAUCAAAUAGAGGAUAUAUGAAAGAAUGCUUAGAGUAGGUCUGAUAUCCUUAGAUACUAAGUAGAAUAUUAAAGGCGAAAGCUUUUUUCCAUUAAUGAUUGACGCUCAGAAACGAAGGUGAGGAUAGGAAAUAGGAUUAGAUACCCAGAAUACCCCUCUCUGUCAACGAUGAAUGGUAGUUAUUAGUACAAAUUAUUAAUGGCAAUGUUAACACGAUAACCAUUCCGCCUUGUGAGUACAACUGCAAAGUUGAAAACAAAAAAAUUAGUCGGUUUCGGAGCAAACGAAGUGAAGCAUGUUAUUUAAUUCGAUAAUCCGC
rnacentral:rRNA from 1 species